rnacentral:rRNA from 1 species
GACGAACGCUGGCGGCGUGCUUAACACAUGCAAGUCGAACGAAGAGCGAUGGAAGCUUGCUUCUAUCAAUCUUAGUGGCGAACGGGUGAGUAACGCGUAAUCAACCUGCCCUUCGGAGGGGGACAACAGUUGGAAACGACUGCUAAUACCGCAUACGAUCUAAUCUUGGCAUCGAGGAUAGAUGUAAGGUGGCCUCGACAUGUAAGCUAUCACUGAAGGUGGGGAUUGCGUCUGAUUAGCAAGUCGGAGGGGUCACGGCCCCCCAUGGCGAUGAUCAGUAGCCGGACUGAGAGGAUGGACGGCCGCAUUGGGAGUGAGACACGGCCCAGACUGCUACGGGAGGCAGCAGUGGGGAAUCUUCCGCAAUGGACGGAAGUCAGACGGAGCAACGCCGCGUGAGUGAUGACGGCCGUCGGGUUGGAAAGCUCUGUUAAUCGGGACGAAAGGCCUUCUUGCGAAUAGUGAGAAGGAUUGACGGUACCGGAAUAGAAAGCCACGGCUAACUACGUG